UGAUCCAGAACACCCAGACUUCGUGCCGUCCGUGUUUGUGUACGCAAAGCCGAGGACCGCCGCUGCCGUUGAACGAUAUCAGCGAGCUCAGAAAAGGAGACGCGCUGAGGAGCAACACGGUGAUGGUGAGCCCACGGACUCUGAGGAACAAGUGGCCAACGAUUGUGUAGAAGAAGUCCAGCCGGAGGGUGACAUGACUGAUGAUCAUGAAAGGACAUCAUGCGAACAAUGUGUGGAAACUGACAUGGCGUAUUCUGUUCCCUGCCAUAUGUGCACCUCCACCUUCCAGGAGCUCAACAAUAAUAUCAGCAAACUACAAAACACCAUUAAGGAUCUCG